AUUGAACGCUGGCGGCAUGCUUUACACACGCAAGUCGAACGGUAACAGGUCUUCGGAUGCUGACGAGUGGCGAACGGGUGAGUAAUGCAUCGGAACGUGCCCAGUCGUGGGGGAUAACGCAGCGAAAGCUGUGCUAAUACCGCAUACGAUCUAUGGAUGAGAGCGGGGGACUCGCAAGAGCCUCGCGCGAUUGGAGCGGCCGAUGUCAGAUUAGGUAGUUGGUGGGGUAAAGGCUCACCAAGCCAACGAUCUGUAGCUGGUCUGAGAGGACGACCAGCCACACUGGAACUGAGACACGGUCCAGACUCCUACGGGAGGCAGCAGUGGGGAAUUUUGGACAAUGGGCGCAAGCCUGAUCCAGCAAUGCCGCGUGCAGGAAGAAGGCCUUCGGGUUGUAAACUGCUUUUGUACGGAACGAAACGGUCCUGGUUAAUACCUGGGGCUAAUGACGGUACCGUAAGAAUAAGCACCGGCUAACUACGUGCCAGCAGCCGCGGUAAUACGUAGGGUGCAAGCGUUAAUCGGAAUUACUGGGCGUAAAGCGUGCGCAGGCGGUUUUGUAAGACAGUCGUGAAAUCCCCGGGCUCAACCUGGGAAUUGCGAUUGUGACUGCAAAGC
rnacentral:rRNA from 1 species